UUGGAAGCUGAGCGACCGUAGCAGCGGAGAGGCUGCGGCGGGUGCGGUGGGCUUAGUCCCAGCGCGGGUGCGGCUCACGGCGCGGGCCCCACUCUUCCGCACCCUGCUCCGGCCUUGGCCACAGCGAACUGAACGCGGUAGCGGCCUCAGGGAGAGGUGAGCGCUCGCGGGCUGCGCGGGGCCUUGGGCCGCUCGUUCGCCCCGCCGGAGCCGGCUGCAGCGGCGGGCGGGGACUCGGGGACUCCACACGUCGGGUCCCGUUCGUUACGUCGCCGGCUGUGUCCGGACCCGGAGCGUCCCUUCGCGGACCCGAGAUGAGCAGUAACAGCAAUAAGAGAGCUCCAACAACUGCGACACAAAGGUUGAAACAGGACUACCUUCGAAUUAAGAAAGACCCAGUGCCUUACAUCUGUGCGGAGCCCCUCCCUUCAAAUAUUCUUGAAUGGCAUUAUGUUGUCCGAGGCCCUGAGAUGACUCCUUAUGAAGGUGGCUAUUAUCAUGGAAAACUAAUUUUUCCCAGAGAAUUUCCAUUUAAGCCUCCUAGUAUUUACAUGAUAACCCCCAAUGGAAGAUUUAAGUGCAACACAAGGCUGUGUCUCUCCAUCACAGAUUUCCAUCCAGAUACAUGGAAUCCAGCGUGGUCCGUCUCCACCAUUCUAACAGGGCUCCUGAGCUUUAUGGUGGAGAAAGGCCCCACCCUGGGGAGCAUAGAGACAUCGGACUUCACG
rnacentral:lncRNA from 1 species